rnacentral:rRNA from 1 species
GAUGAACGCUGGCGGCGUGCCUAAUACAUGCCAGUCGAGCGAACGGACGCUACGCUUUCUUCUCUGAUGUUAGCGGCGGACGGGAGAGUAACACGUUGAUAACCUCCCUAUAAUACUGGGAUAACUUCGGGAAACCGUCGCUAAUACCGGUUCAUAUUUUUAACCGCAUGGUUCAAGUUUUAACGACGGUGUUGCUGUCACCUAUCUAUGGAUCUGCGCUUCAUUAGCUAGUUGGUCAGGUAACGGCUUACUAAGGCAACGAUGCAUAGCGGACAUGAGAGGGGGAACGGCCACAGGGGAAAUGAGACACGGUACAGACUCCAGAGGGAGGCAGCAGUAAGGAAUCGUGAGCAAUGGGCGAAAGCCUGAAGGAGCAAGGAGGCGUGAGGGAUGAAGGUCGUCGGAUCGUAAAACGCUGUUAUUAGGGAAGAACAUAUGAGUAAGUAACUGUGCAAAGCUUGACGGUACCUAAUGAGAAAGCCACGGCUAACUACGUG